AUGGUAUUCGGAGAUUUUAAUGAGAUCCUUUUCUCACAUGAGGAAGGGGGAGCAGCUCGGGAGCAGAGACAGAUGCAAGGGUUUAGAGAUGCUCUGGCUGAUUGCGACCUAGAUGAUAUGGGGGCCUCGGGGGAUAGUUUUACUUGGAUCAGAGGUCGGAUCAAGGAACGACUGGAUAAAGCGGUUUGCAACUCAUGGUGGAAUACCCUUUUCCCGCAUGUAGGAGUGCUGAAUGGGGAAAUGACGAAGUCUGAUCAUCGACCCUUAGUGGUGAAUACGGAAUUUUAUGCGGAGCAUAGCAGACCGAGGGGGAACUAA
rnacentral:rRNA from 1 species